rnacentral:tRNA from 1 species
GAGGGUAUAGCUCAGUGGUAGGGCACAUGCUUAGCAUGCACAAGGUCCUGGGUUCAAUCCCCAGUGCCUCCU